rnacentral:lncRNA from 10 species
AUGAAAUAUUAGUUCUGGUUGCUAGUGCAGAUCUGGACUCGGAUCAAGGGUGUCGAGAGGGUCCUGGGUCCUGUUCCUUUGCCUUUCAAAAAGACUUUUUACGGAUUGAGAAUUUUUAAAUACCACUAGGGGAAAGGUGAAGGUUCUUUGCAGCCUUCAGUGUUGAAAUGGACGAAGGUAAGGAAGGCAAAUCAUUUUAAGACGAAAUCUCCGAUUUUUUAAAAAAGGAGGAAAAAAGCAGGGUGGCUAAGGAUAAAGAAAGAGGACUUGAGAAAAUGUGGAGAAUGAAAAACAGGAGAGCAGCGAGCAAAAGCAAAGAUCCAGAGUUCAAAGAGACUGGCAGAAGGAAAUAGCUGCGGGCUGAGUGCUGAAGAGGGGAGGGACUGACGGCUGCCGGCCGGUAGGAGCGCGGAGCUGCGCUGCGGCGGCCCAGGAGCUGCUGCGGUUCCCGCUGCUCGGGGAGCAGGCGGUGUGUGCGCGGCUGCGAAGUCGAGGUUGAAACUGCACCGCCAAGGCGCGCUCCUGCUGUGUCUGGAGCUCCGGCGUCUCCUCUGCCUCCCAGCUCAGCGCCUCCCACCCUCCUUCCCUCCUCCUCUUCCCAGCUCCCCCGCCCUCUGCUGCUCGCAGCCUCGCCAGUGAGAAUCUACUGUAAGUGUGAGUUGCUUCGACGAAGUCACACACCCACGGAGGGAAGUAAUCUGGAGGCUGCCUUGAUUAGAAGAAUUGCUGCUAUCUAAUGCAUCAUGUGUUUGAGAAUAGACUUCUAUGUCAAA